AGUUUAUUCCUAAAAUUAUAAACAUCUAAUUUCCUUACACAGGAUGCCAGCCAUGCCACAUCAGAGAUGCAGAAACUCUCCCUAAACCAAAACGAGAAUGCAGAAGCCAGCAAGUUCAAAAAGAUUUCCCAUGAUAAGAAGGCGACAGCUCCAGUGAACAUGUCCAAACUUUUAAGUUUUGGUUAUGCUGACGAAGAGAAUAAAUCUCUCAAUGAUGAUGAUGCUUCAAGCAUUACCUCUGAGCAGACCAGCCCCAUUGCACCAGAGGAUGAACUGGAAUAAAGAUGAUGUCGCCCAAAACCCUUCUUCAUGAAUUGUUGUUCUCUCGUAUCCACUAGCUCCUCUGCAUAAAUCACCCACUCUCUGCUUUAUGCAAAAACAUUUUUUAGUUAUCUGUUUUGCAUCUUUAUCUAAUUUACUUGUUUGUGUUAUGCUCACAUAUCUAUGGUGCUUGUGAUCAGGAUAUCUAUACCCUUGAAGAAAGGGAUAUUUGUAAAGUCUAAAUGAAAACCAGCUGUUUCUCACCUCACAUUGUCAAUGGAUAUGACAAGAUAUGUAAGCUGCAAACUCUUAUUACAAACUCCAUGGCUGUUUUAUAAAGUAAGUCUCUGGGUUGAACACUUUUAAGUGUUCUUAUGGCCCAGUAGUUAGCUAGUUGAGCGCAUGAUGAGCACACAAGAAGGUUACCUUAAAAUAAAUGAUGCAGAUGCCAUUGGUAGGGAUUUGAGAACAGGAAGAGGUUCAGGGAGUUCGCAAUUGUGAAUGUCUGUUAGUAUUGAUGUGAUAGUAAAUAAUAAUCACAGAUUCAGUUGUUUUGGUGUUCUAUGCUGUUUAAUUUUAAUAUUUCUUCCUUCUGAAAACAAUGUUUACACUUGCUGACAGUUAAUAUCUAUAAAUGAUAACAAUAAAUUGCAUGUGCAUAAAAUA